rnacentral:tRNA from 1 species
GUGAGAGUAGCUCAGCUGGUUAGAGCACUGGAUUGUGGAUCCAGGGGUCGCGGGUUCGAAUCCCGUCUUUCACC